UGAAUUAUUAUCAGGAAAUGAUUCCGGACGCUCGCGUCGCUGACUCCCACACACUAGGUUCCAGCGUGGUCAGGGUACUUUCCAUUCCAGUCCAGCGUUCUCCACGAACGUUCGAGCUCUUCAGUUCGUAACAGUGAAUCUCGACUUUCAGGUUUGUUGGCACUAUGUGGACAAUACUGUUAUUGUUGGCCUCUGCAACUUUUGGUGCAUGCACGAAGGUAGAUGCCACUCUUGGGGAGGACGUGCUCUUACUCUGCAACUGUCCACGGAAUAAAGAACGUUACCUUGUUUGGCAAAUAGGUUACACCAUUGUGGAUCAAUACAUCCAUGGAUAUGAAAAAUCUAAUAUAUCUCCCCAGUUCCUGGGCAGGACACGUUUAUUUUUUCCUGAAGACACGGGAAACUGCUCAUUGCUACUCACAAGCGUGACUAAAGCAGAUCAAGACACGUAUACUUGUCACUACUUCAGUGAGAAAGAGUACACAAGUGCUGAUGUUACUCUGUAUGUGAAUGAACAAGGUCGGCAGGGGCAGCCUACAUCCAGCCCAUCAUUCAAACCUGAGAAGAAUGGAGUGCCAUAUGCGAUUGGCGGGGUGCUUCUCAUCAUUUCCCUGCUGUCAAUAGUCUUCCUGACAGUCAGAUAUCGACAAAGGCACCUGAGGUCAAAUGUAGAAGUACCUGAUCUUCCAGAUGGUGAACAACUGGAGUCCUUGAACCCUUGAUGGGUGUGAUGGUGUCUUGGCCUUACAGCGGGAGAGCUGUCUCUGUAACUGAGAACCGUCUAAGCCCAAGUGUGUCCACGGAGUAGAGGCAGCCUGACCUCUAAUGACUGACCUCUAAUGACUAGAGAACGGCUUUGUUUUGGGAACCCGUUGAUUGGUCAGGGGAUACGUUGGCGUUUUAUGCAAUAACUAGGGUCAAGUCAUGACAUGCAGACAGGACUCAUGGACUCAGUUGUUCUCCUGUGUGUGUGCUCGAUUUGGCUGAACUCCUGGAGCCCUCCAGACAUUGCCAGUGAAACAUCUGUUCGGUGUGAAGAUUGUUGAAGCGUUGGAAUUGAUUCAAGUGGGAAUUGUUGGUGAAUAAAUGACCCCAUUGAUGAUGCCACUGGAAUGUAAAUUAUAACCAGACUUUUCUAACUUUCAUUUUGAUGUAAUGCGCUCUAAAAUGGCUUAUCAGUGAAUUUGCAAACGUACCAGUCGUUUUUCACAAAGGAACGUGCUUUUGUUUAUAGCAGCCACCUCUGUAACUAAGAGAGAACUGUGUAUUUGAUUGGUCUUCAAAUGUUGCCAUACGCUGUUUUAGCACUAAUCAGUAUUUGUAUUAUAUUGUGAGCAAAUUAUUUUUGGGACGCAACUCACGUGAAUGCAACUAGUGCACUGACACAAAGACUAAACAGCAAUUAUAUUUUGUUGUGUAAUUGUCCCCAUGGGACAUUAUUUUUCCUUUUUUAGCCUUUUGUAUGUUUUUUGGGUCAGAAGGAUUUGGGAAUUGUACAAUAAUGUGAACAUUUUCAGAUAUUUAUGUAUAUUUUCUUACAUUUUUCACAGUAGUGCUAUCUUCUUAUACUGGAUAACUCCUUUUUUAAUAAUAAAUUUCACUGUAUGGUCCCACUUAACAAAGACUUUCUUUUGUGUUCUGUGUGUCUUUUACACUACAUGGCCAAAAGUAUGUUGAGACCUGACAUUUGACAUCUCGUCCAAUAUUAAGGGAAUUAAUAUGGGGUUGGUCCACCCUUUGCUGCGAUAACAACCUCCUCCCUUCUGGGAAGGCUUUAUACUAGAUGGUGGAGUAUUGCUGCAGUGACUUGUUUCCAUUGAGCCAGAAGAGCAUUAGUGAGGUCAGGCACUGAUUAGGCUAUUAGGCCUGGCUCACAGUCGGCUUUCCUACUGAUCCCAAAGGUGUUGGACGAGGUUGAGGUCAGGGCUCUGUGCAGGUCAGUCAAGUUCAUCCAUACCGUUCUCAACAAAACCAUUUCUAUAUGGACCGCGCUGUGUGCCCCGGGGGCAUUGUUAUGCUGAAACAGGAAAGGGCCUUCUCCAAACUGUUGGGGAAGCACUGUGAUUCUAUGCUGUACCAUUAAGAUUUGCUAACUAAGGGGCCUAGCCCAAACCAUGAAAAAUAGCCCCAGACCAAGGGGUGUCCAGAUACCUUUGGUCAUAUUGUGUAUCGUGAAGCAUACUGUUCUGUUUCUGUUUGAGAGAAACACUUCUUUUUCCAUUUGACAGGCAUUUACUGAAAAAGCGAGCUCAGUAUUUGUAUUCACAAUUUGUAUUCUGAAGUCCUACUUCAGAACGGAUGUGUGUCAAGCACAGGCAACACGUGAGGUGUUGCCAAACCGAGGGUGUGAUAAUUCUGUUUAAAGCUUAAAAUGUUUUUUUAAGACAUAUUAUAUUAUAUUUGAUCUUGUUUGA